ACACAGCCCCGCCCCAGCCCACCCACUGGCCACCCUCAGGCACAGGGGCCUGAGCCAUUGCCCAGGGACGGGUGGGUAGGAGUCAUUUGAAUGAAUGGACCCUCCCCCUCUCAGGGUAUGAAGAGGGGAAGGAGCAGUGUGGGGACCCUCUGGUCAGCUGUGGGGCCACAGACGGCAGGACACCCUGACCGUGUCCACCAUGGCCUGGUUCCCUCUGCUCCUCACCCUGGGCCCUCUCUGUACAGGAUCCUGGGCCCAGGCUGUGCUGACUCAGCCGUCCUCCGUGUUUGGGACUUUGGGUCAGAGAGUCACCAUCUCUUGUACUGGAAGCAGCAACAACAUUGGGAGUUAUGUGAGCUGGUACCAACAGCUCUCAGGAAAGGCCCACAGACUCCUGACCUAUGAAAUUAGCAAACGACCCCCAGGGGUCCCAGAUCGAUUCUCUAGCUCCAAGCCUGACAACUCAGCCUCUCUGACCACCUCAGUUCAUGCUGAGGACGACACUGAUUAUUACUGUUUCUCAUGGGCUGACGGCUUGAAAGUUUGCACAGUGCUUCAGGCCAGAGAGAAGGAGACAAAAACCUGCUUCCCCCACAGCCAUGGGGCUCCCAGGGCAAGGUGUUGCCCCUCCCUUCCUGGAGUCCCUGAGACCACGGAACCCAGCUGUCUGGGUGCCCCCUGA